GGGUGGUAACGGGAGGCGGCAGGCUUAUUCUUAAGCAUUUUGUUCAAUUAACUGCUCAGCUGAGCUCGAAUUCUUACAAAUGAUUCCCCUCUGUUUGGAGACUUGCAGAGAGCCAUUCCCCUUCCAUACAGCUGCAUUGGUUGUAGCCCAUCACUGCAAGGAAGCCGCAAGAGCAGGAGUACGGGAACUUGAGAUAGCUGCUCACGUCAUACCCACAGCCGAGCUCAGUAGAACAACACAUGCAUGCCCACUUGCUGCCCUUCUGCUGUCCUUCUACUCUGGUAUAGAAGCUGAAGGACCUGAUUCCUAAGUUGAUGUGUCUGGUACCGUGUGUCCCAUUGAAGCAGUAUGCAGUCAGAAAAGACGUUUGUCUUCGAGGUGAACGGAAGGAAUGUGGGACACAGAUACUAAGUAAGACCCAGAUUUCUGACUGGUCAGCAAGGACGUACACACAGCCAGCAGGCAAGAAUGGAAACCUGCAACCAACAGCUCUUAGAAGCGCAAGAACUGAGCAACAGGAAGCCUUUGGAGAGGUGGUCUACUGUUACGGAAGAUGUCGUGGAAGGCCAGUGCCCUCAGGCCUGCAUAUGGCUGUCCUUUAGCUUGCACACGAUGUUGCCUUCAGAUGUCUCACACCUCCACUUUUAAAUGUUCAUAAAAAUGUUUUAGAGCUGAUCAAUCAUGCCUCAAAAGAACCCUGAAUUU